rnacentral:rRNA from 1 species
GAUGAACGCUAGCGGCAGGCCUAAUACAUGCAAGUCGAACGAGAUUAAGAGGCUUGCUUCUUAUGAAAGUGGCGCACGGGUGCGUAACGCGUAUGCAACCUACCUUAAUCAGGGGGAUAGCCCGAAGAAAUUCGGAUUAAGACCGCAUAAAAACACAGGAUAGCAUUAUCCAAUGUUCAAAUAUUUAUAGGAUUAAGAUGGGCAUGCGUGUCAUUAGCUAGUUGGCGGGGUAACGGCCCACCAAGGCGACGAUGACUAGGGGAUCUGAGAGGAUGACCCCCCACACUGGUACUGAGCCACGGACCAGACUCCUACGGGAGGCAGCAGUAAGGAAUAGUGAUCAAUGGAGGGAACUCUGAACCAGCCAUGCCGCGUGCAGGAAGACAGCCCUCUGGGUCGUAAACUGCUUUUAGUCGGGAAUAAACCUUUCUACGUGUAGGAAGCUGAAUGUACCGAAGGAAUAAGGAUCGGCUAACUCCGUG